ACUGAGCAUGGUUUUCUUUGCUUCACUUUUUUUUUUUUUUUUUUUUUUUGGAAAAAUACAAACCUUUGAGGUUCCAAGUGAAUUACGAAGGUGGCCUGGACUACAGGCAAGGGAAGACUUCCCAAGUCAGGAAUAAGGCUUGUUGGCUGAGGUAGGUCUUUGGGGAGAGUUAUUGCUGAUAGUUGGAAGUGAAUUCUUGUUUGAUGAUCUGAUUCUGACAACGAAUUACAGAUCAGCUUCCAUGACUCCUCUGUUUUCAGUCCUUGUUUCUGCUGGUACACUGUUGUGGUAUGGUUAUCACCUUCAAGUUAAAGGCUAGUUUACUAUUUCCUUCCUUAGUGAGCGAGGCAGUCACUUAAGUGACCCAGGUAUGGGCAGGUGUGCCUGAACACACAUCCACACUCAUUCUAAAUCAAAAUAAAUAACUUUGGCUCCUUAGGGUAGUUUACAAAGUCAGACUGCAAACCAACUGUGGGCCUCCACCCAAACUCUUCAUGCUCGACACACAUCAUACUGACCAGGCCUUUCCUUUUCUCUUAAAGGAAACAUGUUUUCUUUAUCCUCAGGAAACACUUGGUGCCCUGUCUCUUCAUGGUAAUAUGUGCUGGGUCUCUAAGUGCAGUGACCUCUAAAAUUCUGGCAGACAGGAAAGUUUUUCAGUUCAAGUAGAGGCUGGGGAAUGAAGUGCUGACUUUAAAUAAAGCAGAAUUAGGGAUGGAUUCAAGAGAGUAUUUGUAAUUAGGCUACAAACCACCAAGCUUUCAUCAACGUAUGUGAGUCUGAAGCCAAAUGUGAAUGGAAGCUAAGCCAUAUACUAAAAUAGACCUUAGUUCCUAACACUAUUUAAUUGCUAAGUAGUUUUCAGGAGUGGGUUCUUCCCUAUUUCUUUUUGGAAGUUUCUCAGCCCACGUGCUGUGGAAAUCUGCAGUUUAUAGGCUGGGUUUGGAUAUCUUUUCCCUACUGAGCAAGACAACAGCUUUGUUUUCUCUACACUACUCUGUUCCCAUCACAUCUGUGCCCUCAUUCUCACCCCCAUGUCCCUUCUCUGUCUCUGUCUCUAUUACACAAAUGUUGGCAGUUGGGUUAUUAGGUAGACUAUGGUCACUCUUCCUUUUCUAUGCAUCUUUGCACCCUUCACUCCCAUCAUGCAAUUUCCCCCUCACUACACUAACAUAUACCUCAUGUUUUCUUUCAAUUCCAUCCUGAAGAAAAAUUUCCUCCAGGCUUCAGAUCUGCAGCAGUUGGGGCCGAUCGGUCUGUAGGCUACUCAUUGGCUCUCAUUUUGGUAUCUUCAUCAAUAACUGGGAUAAAUCCCUUUUCUGUUGGGUUAUCUGGAGUGUAGACCUUCUUUCUUUGUUAGCUCUCUUCUUUUGGCAGAGCAGUCUCUACUAAUUUCCUAAGGACAAAUGCUUAACUAAACUCCUGUAUGUCUGAAAAUAUUUUUCCUUGUAUUUGAGAGUGGCUGCAGAGUUUUAAGUUACAUCUUUUAGCUUCCAGUAUUGCUGUUGAAAAGCUUCCAAAGUAUUUCUGAUUGUAAAUUUUAGGCCCUUUUCUGUUUCCAGUAUUUAGAAAUUUACACAACAAUGAUGAUGUGUUUUUAAGACUCAAAGACUUUAUUUGAAGCUCUGGUUCUAGUCAUAUCAAAAGCUCUUGGACUUCCCACUAAGAGCUAAUAAAAUUCCUUUGAGAC
rnacentral:lncRNA from 1 species